ensembl:lncRNA
UGAAUAUUUAAACACAUUGCAGACAGAAUCGCUUUUGGUUUCAGUCUGUUGGUUGGACAAAGACAGACGUUUGGAAACUUUAAACCUGUGGUCGGCGAUUUCACACCCUUUAAAACACAGUUCCAACUAGCCUACGAUGCUUCCCUUUAACACGGGUCAUUAACCUCUUCAGACUCUUCGGAUUCGUAGAUACUUGCAGUCACGUUAGGAUGGUAGAUCAUAUGCUUUGCUGCCAUGUAGAAGACAAGCUGCCAGGAGACUUGAACCAAUCAUUGUGAAAUUGCGUAACCGUUUGAGCAAACAAAAGAACACAUUUAAGACUAAAAAGUGACUCAAGAGGCUCAUUGGCAGCGCGUCCAGCAAUGAGCCUCUACUACUCAUAAACGUCUCUAAGGACCACAACGCGAGACAAGCUGCGCGACCGCUGACACGCACGAGGCACAGAGCUUUUGCUCCACACGUACCACAACGGAACACAGCAGUUGGGGUAAAUUGGAAAAGCGCAACGGCCUGAGCUUAAAUGCCGCACGCGGACGAGAGGACGCGACGACAAACGUCCUCCGGAACGCACAGACAUUCGUAGCGACGCACCAGGAACAAGGCUGAUCCGGUUACACAGGAAGGAAGUGAGGGCGCAUCGUCGGGAAAACCACCCCUGUCAUCUGGGUCAGUAAUGGGAAUAUGAUGAGGUCAAGUCUAUUUAAAGGCCCGAUAAUGCAGAAGAACAAGUUGGAUGAGCUUUGAGAGUGUAGUUGCAAUAAGUCGGGGGCAGAACCCGAGCAGGAAAUGUCUGUGCUGAUCAUCAGGGGGGGGGGGGACAAUUCCAUUUGUGGCGGUUUUUCAAAUCUCGGUCCUCUAAUGAUUUCCUUCUCAAAUAACCUGUAAUGGAUUAUAUUAUAUUACGCAAACAAUGGUUGAGACUAGAGGGGGGUAUUUAAUUGUGUUUGUUGAAGUAAAUGAACAAAGAUGGAUCCGAGUUUGUUUGCCUGCCUCCUAUAUGGGAACCAUUUUUACCCAAAGAUGCCAUUGUUCAAAAUACAAAAAUGCAGCUCAAACUAGCUGUGAAGUAGCGCAUACAGAGAAUGUUAUCAAAAAUAGUAGAUGAGAUGAAGGGAAAUGAAUAUAAAUGUACAAUAUACCUGAGACUUCAUCUCAUACAGCAGUGGGUUGUCUGGUGUCAGCUGGAUGGCCUCGUCCAACUUCUUAAUGGCCUCCCAGUGUCUAGAGGAAACACACACACAGACAUUAUCGAACUGGGGAAUUAAUCACAUAAAAAGGGUUUAUUGCAUCAUAAUUGGUAACCGGGUCCGUCUGGUGCACUUUAAACCGCAGCGUGAUACACAACUUAUUAGAGGCGUCUGAAUUAUUUAGAGUGCAUGCGUGUUGGCCGAGAGAUCUCGCACAACAUUGUGUCGGAGUCCUUGGAAAACGCGGCGCUGAAGCGUGACGGACGCAAACAGACAAAUCCCAAAAAGAGAUGAAAUUGGACGCUCGCGUCCGUUGCCCGCGCCCUGAGAUUCGAUACGCGUGACGCGAGUUAACACACCGCCACGCGCCUGUUCGGUGGGUAUCGCGAAGCCAUUUCCGCCGGGGAUUUUUGCUGUGUCAUGUGAUAAGAGAAGCCAAACCUUCCCGAUCUCGUCUGAUAUUAAAUCAACUUUUAAGUGGCACGGAUCGUAUAUUAUACACACUGUGGAGGUGUUUUUUUUCGCAUUUUAGUUAUUCCUUAAUAUCACUCAAAUAAAAAGGUCUAAAAAGGAAAACGAUGCUUUGUUCUGUAGACUCGGUGAGUGAGAACGGACAACACGCUACAAAGGAGCUCCUGAUGCUGCACAGCCUGUGACAUCACAGUAAAAAGGUGUUGAUAGUAAGUAAUUGAUUAUUUUCCUGAGGUAAGAAAUUCACAUUCCAGAAGUCAAUAGUCGUGGAGGGAAGCGAGCGACUGGCCCGGCGGAGCAUUAUGAAUAUGCUCGAGCUCACUGCAACUUCCCUCUCCUCCUCCGGUCAAUAUUGACUCAGGAGUCAUUCCAAUAGAGGGAUCGAGUUCAGGGCUUGGGAAGAUCAUGAGGUGGAAUCCUGAGGUGGACAACACGAUGGGUCUGUCGUGUCUAGAUGUUUUUACAGCUUAAUCAAGAAAGAUAGCCUGCAAUUAAGACUAGAAAUAUAACUUUAUCUUGCAAUCAAAACUCAGCCAGAGCCUGAGAAAAGCCACCCCACGGCUAUUCAACUGUGAGCGAGGAAAGGGAACUAGAGCAGUGGGGGGGAUUGUGUUGAGACAUGAGGCAAAAGAUGGGGCAAUUCCACAGGAGGAAAUUAAGCAAAAAGUGAGCGGCGCACUAAAAAACGACUCCUCCGCAGUCACCACAUCUCAGUGUGAGUCAAUGGAAGAGCAGAGAGGGGAAUUUGAUGUAGUUGAUAAAACAAAGAGUUACUUACAGGAUGUCACGGUUCUGAGGAGAGUGGAGGGUUGUGGCUUAUGGGCGGACUA